AACGUAGGUUCCGAGCGUUAUCCGGAUUUACGUGGGCGUUAAAGCGCGUUCAGGCGGUUUGGCAAGUCGGGCAUGAAAUCUCUGGGCUCAACCUGGAGAGGUUCGUCCGAUACUGCUGAACUGGAGGGCAGUGAGAGGGUGGUGGAAUUCCGGGUGUAGUGGUGAAAUGCGUAGAGAUCCGGAGGAACACCAGUGGCGAAAGCGGCCACCUGGACU
rnacentral:rRNA from 1 species